GGUAGUGUGGCUCAUUGGAAAGAGCCCGGGCUUGGGAGUCAGAGGUCAUGGGUUCGAAUCCUAACUCUGCCA
rnacentral:tRNA from 1 species